rnacentral:lncRNA from 1 species
UUUUUUUUUUUUCCCGUUUUUUUUUUUUUUUUAGUUUCCCAGGCUCCAGUUCCCACGGAGUAAACUGACACUGACACAUACACUGAGUGUGUCACAGGAGCGACGGAACCCAAAUCUUUUAUAAUGGGCAGUUAAGUCUCCCAGACCUUUUGCUCCAGAAAGAGACAGCAUCUUUACAUUACCAGAUAGGAAACAAAACCACCUUUUGCUCCAGAGGGAGAUACUAUAUCUUCCAAAGCAUUCACUACAAAUAUCCUUGACAAGAUACUCUGAAAUAAAGGUACUCAGUGCCUCUGCUCCAAAGACCUGCAGAAAUGCAAGACACUCAUGGAGAAUUGCAGCUCAGUAAUCAGUAGAGAAAGUAGUCAAAUAUUUACUGAGUAGCUAUGUUUUGCCUACCAUAAAGACUAUUUUAUUGCCCUUCUAAAUUUAUUGUGUCCUCAAUAUUUAGAGCUAUUGUAAAAUAGGGGAUGGCUGAUACAGCAUUUUUAAGAUUGAAUAUUCAAGAGCAGAGUUCACAUGAUCGUGAGCACUUCUAUUACCAGGGAACAAAUGGAAUCUUGUCCUUCAGGGACAUAUCACUCCUAAAACAGAUUCACUGAUAAUGAGGGUGAAUUUUUUUUAAAGAAUAUAUCUCUUUAAAAUAGUAAAAGAACUUAUAAAAUAGUAAACAAACCAUAUAUCCUCCACCCAUAACCCCUCCUCACUUGAUCUCAUCUAAAGAGCACAAUAAAAGCGUGUGGUUUCUUGAGGCAGUGCUCUUGGUCCCUGAGACCUUGAGUUCCCUGGUUCCCACCUUCACUGUCAAAAAAAAAAAAAGAAGAAGAAUAUAUCUCAACUGAAUGUAGAAAAGAGACCAAUUUUAUAUGUAGGUGAGGUGAUUCCAAAAGUGCCAAGACACUAUUUGCAUAACAAAAUGAUUUAUAAAUCCAAAUAAAUGUCCACCUGUUGAAACUGUGAGGAAAUAAAAUGUUUCUAAGGUAGAGGCAGAGGGAUGGAUGAGGAUGGGUGAGGAUAGGAGGGAGAAUUUCUAUUGCUCUGAGUCACAGUCUUUGUUUUAACAUGGUCUUCUCUCUCUGCUUACAUCACCAGAAUAUUGGAAAAAAAUGGUUAAAGCAGAAAAGCAUAGUUGUCACGCUUUGUGGUGACCUCUCCAUUUCACUAGAAGUAUAACCAGAAAGUCUUACAAUGGCUUUCAGGGAGCUCCAUGAUAUGCAUUUAUUCAACCCCUACCUCUCUGGCUUCAUUCCAGGUCCAUCACACUGACAUUUUUGCUUUUCCUUGAAAACACAAGGCACGUUCUUGCCUUAGAGCCUUGACAUUCUUUUUACAUAUACCUGAAUUACUAUUCCCUCAGAUCUCACAUGGGCAACCCCCACUUCUGUAAAUCUUUGCGUAAAUGUUACUUUCUUCUUGAGACCCACUCUGACCACUCAGCUUAAGAAUCGCUACUCAUGUUCCUACCACCUCCACACUCUUAUUCCUCUUUACCUGCUGUAUGUUUUUUUUCUUUUUCCAUAGCACUAUCACCUAUUGCUGGUUUUCUGUCUCUUCCCAUUAAGAUAUAAGCUAUAUAAAGACAGGGAUUUUUUUUCUCUUUUGUUUUGUCCAUCAGUAUUCUUCCAGCAUCUAGAUUAUGUUUACCACAUAAUGGACACACAUUUACUGAAUGAAGAGAUGAUUCACUUAGCUUUACCCUCCGUGUCUGUCUCCCUAUGCAUAUGAGCUGUAGGAAACCACACAAGUGAAUUGCCUUUCUGAAUAAAAUGGGAUUAUGUAUCAAAGGCAUCUAACACACUGUCAGGCAUAGAAUAAAAAUGCACCAUUAGCUACUAACAUGAAAAGCAUGAACAAAUUUGAAGUCUAAUGAGUGCCAAAUUCCACUGGUAGCAAAGCAUUUCCAGAUCUCUCUUCUGAGUUCUGAGGGCUCAGAGCCUCCAAAUUGUGAGAGGUAUUUUUUCCCAAUUGUAUUACCAUGCUACAAUUUGUAGACCUGAAUUUGACAAUGUCCCAACUUGCUACUUCUCUAAAAGAAUUUUGUGUUAUCUAGGAACUUAGAGAUCUAAUCAUUCACUUAUUUUUUUUUCCAGAUCAUUAAAAGAAAAAAAAUCUUUAAUAAGACAUCCCAGCACUAAUUCCUAGGAUCUGAUUAUUUUACACUUAUCCCUACAGAAAAGUUAUCAUUUAUUAUUUCUUAUUCAAUUCACAGACAGACAAACUUGGAAUUCAAUCCUGUCAAGGACUGUCCCUCAACUGGCCUAAAAAGGGANNNNNNNNNNNNNNNNNNNNNNNNNNNNNNNNNNACUCUGCUUCGCCAUUCACAGCCUGGGCCUCCUUUGGAUAAGAGAAGACCUCAGAGUGGCACACGAUUAGACUUCAGCCCCAAUGGGGUAGUUAAUGAGCUUAUAUACACUCUAAGAACACUCUAAGAACUUGAGACGUGCAGUGCUCUAGAAAAUACUAAUGCAAUAGAACAUAAUUUGAAAAUAGUCUGGAAACCAGAAAUGCAAAAAUGCCAUGCUCUGAACUGACUGUAGGAACACUAAAGGAAUGCAGAAUAAAGAAUCCAAAGAAAACAUGAACUACAAGGAAGGAUUAAGCCCUAGUCCUUCAGUUCUGCAAAGGCAGUUGCAGGGGUCUUGAAUGCCCACCCCCAUUUUUAGUCAGGACACUAAGAUGGGUUAAUUGAAAGACACAACUUACUGAAAUGAGACAGACAUAUUUUAUGGAAACCAAGAGUAAUGGGGCUCUUAAAGGACUAAAGCCAGUAACUGGAAAGCUUUCAGAAGCCAAGAAAGUGUUCGUUCUCUCAGUGUCUCACUUUUCUUCACAGACUCCUCAUUUUCCUCCAGGUCUCCCCGCUGCUCAGUAUGCAAAAGAUUGCUCAGUAUGCAAAAGAUUGCUGCUCCUGAGCUUCCUGGUUUACAUCAUCUCACUCUCGGCCACGGCAGGGACUAACACGCUGCCUCUGAAUCUAAAGGUCACACUCCUGGGAGAGAGAACUGAAUUGGUCCAGCUUGGGUUAGGUGUCUCC